rnacentral:rRNA from 1 species
UACGUAGGGUGCAAGCGUUAAUCGGAGUUACAGGGCGUAAAGCGUACGCAGGCGGCUUUGCAAGACAGGUGUGAAAUCCCCGGGUCUAACCUGGUAACUGCAUUUGUGACUGCAUGGCUAGAGUCUGUCAGAGGGGGGUGGAAUUCAACGUGUAGCAGUGAAAUGCGUAGAGAUGUGGAAGAACACCGAUGGCGAAGGCAGCCCCCUGGGAUGAGACUGACGCUCAUGUACGAAAGCGUUGGGAGCAAACAGG